rnacentral:lncRNA from 1 species
AUGCACAAGAAGGACAAGAAAAGUAUAGUUUAUGUAAAUCAGAAAUCACUUAAUAGAUAUUUAAUCUUGAUUCCAGAACAAUUGGAUUAAAGCAUGCUGAAAAACUGAAGCAAACAGUAAUAUAUAUCAUCAGGAAUUGUUCUUUCAGACCAAGGAAAAAUUAUGCAGGGGGAUGUUUGUGGAAAUUAUAAGUUGUCAAGUA